CCUACGGGUGGCAGCAGUGAGGAAUAUUGGUCAAUGGGCGCGAGCCUGAACCAGCCAAGUAGCGUGAAGGAUGACGGCCCUACGGGUUGUAAACUUCUUUUAUAAAGGAAUAAAGUGAGGCACGUGGGCCUUUUUGUAUGGACUUUAUGAAUAAGGAGCGGCUAACGCCGUGCCAGCAGCCGCGGUAAUACGGAGGAUCCGAGCGUUAUCCGGAUUUAGUGGGGUUAAAGGGAGCGUAGAUGGGUUGUUAAGUCAGUUGUGACAGUUUGCGGCUCAACCGGAAAAUUGCAAUUGAUACUGGCAGUCUUUAGUACAGUUGCGGUCGGCGGACUUCGUGUUGUCGCGGUGCAAUGC
rnacentral:rRNA from 1 species